CUGAAUAGCUGAGACUACAGGAGCCACACCUGGCUCCUUCACUUUUGAAGGAUAAUUUUGCAGGACACAGAGUUCUAGAUUGGUGUCUUUUUCCCUCUCAGUUUAUUUCACUCCAUUUUCUUCUUGCUUCCUUGGGUUCCAAGGAAACCAGUUGUAAUUUUUAUCUUUAUCUUCUACUGUUAAGGGUUUUUCCCCUACCAGCGCUCUCUGGCUUACUUCAAGAUUUUUUCUCUAUCUUCGAUUUUCUGCAGUUCGAAUAUGAUAUGCCCAGGCACAAUUUGUUUUGUCAGUUUUCUUUUCUUUUUUGGGGGGGAUUUAUCCUGCUUGGUGUUUUUUUUGAGCUUGCUAGAUCUUUGUUUGACAUUAAUUUGGGAGAAAUCUGUAGUCAUUAUUUCUUCAGACAUUUCUUUUUUUCCUUUCUCAUACUUCUUUGGUAUUCUCAUUACUUAUAUGUUAUACUUCUUAAAACUGUCCCAUAGUUCUUGGAUAUUCUUUUCUGUUUUGUUUUGUUUUGUUUUAGUUUCCUUAUCUCUGCCUUUCAGUUUCAGAAGUUUCUAUUGACACAUCCUCAAGCUCAGUGGUUCUCUUUUCAGCUGUGUCUAGUCUACUAGUGAGCACAUCCAAAGCAUCCUUCAUUUCUACUAUAGAGUUUUAAAAUCUCUAGCUAGCAUUUUUUUUUUAUUCUUUUGUAGAACUUCUGUCUCUCUGCCUACAUCAUUCAUUGAUUUUUUCAUGUUGCGCACUUUUUCCAUUAGAUUACUUACCAUAUUAAUUAUAGUUAAUUUAAAGUCCUGGCCUGAUAUUUGUAAGAUUCUUGCCAUAUCCGAUUCUGCUUUUGGUACUUUCUCAUUUUCUUCAAACUGUGCUUUUUUGGCAUUUUAGUAUGCUUGUAAUUUUUUUGUUAAAAGCAGAGUAGGAUGUACUAGGUGAAAGGAAUUGAGUAAAUAGACCUUUAGCAAUGUGGUGGUAAGGGGCAGGGCAUGGGGGAAGCUUUCCAUAGUCCCAUGAUUAGGUCUUAGUCUUCCAGUGAGCUUCUGUCCAUGGACUAUAAACCUCAGAAAUGCUUCUUAUAUUUUUUUACUUCCUUAGAUGAGACAUGAUAUCUAGAGGGUUUGGAUAGUUGGGUAUUUCCCUUGCCGUAGUUUAAUUAGGCUCUGAUAAAACCCCAACAGGUUAGGCUUUGGUAAAAUAAUUUCUCCUGAGGGCAGGUCUUAUUAAGAACAAAAUGCCCUGACUUAUUUCAAAAUGAUUGCUUUUAUCCUCCUGCAGCCAGAAGAAGGAAGGUGUCUAUACUGUGAGAUUUUACUAGAGCUCUUAGAGACUCUCUGGCUCUUCUCACUUGUUUGCGCUGAUGAUGCAAGUUGUCGUGUUGUGAGUUACCAAUAAGACACCUACACGGUAACGAACCAAAGGUGACAUCCAGUCCACAGUCAGUGAGGAACUGAGGCUCUCACUCCAACAGCCUGCAAGGAACUGAAUCCUGCCAACAGCCAUUGUAGUGUAGAAGUCAUUCCACUACCAGUCAUGUUUCAAGAUGCUUCAGACACAGCUGACAGCUUGAUUUCAGCUUUCUGAGAUGAUCCCUGUGAGAUAUCCAAAGCCAGAGGAUCCAGCUAAGCUGCACCUGAAUUCCUGACUUGCAGAAAGACUGAGAUCAUACUGUUGUGUUAUAGUGCUAAGUUUCGGGGUAAUUAAUGCCACUUCAAUAGAUAUUAGUAAAUACACCUCAUUUAAAUUUUUCUUCUGUAUCAUUCUCAACAAAUAUAAACUUGGGGAUGUUUUUACAUUCACUAAUAGUAUCACUGUAAACUUUCUGUGAAUGAUUUAAUAAUAUCGGGUGAACUCACUGCCCAUUAUAAACUGAAGAAAAUCUCAGAGAUUUGAUCAUUAAGGUUUAAUAAGAGUUGAUGGGAUUAAUUAUUAUAGCCACAUCAACAACAUAACUAUGCUGUGAGUUUGCUUUUAACUGAAGUGCUGUUGCUUUCGUUCUGGGCAUUUAAAAUAAAUAUAAAUUUGUUUUGGUUUGCUAGUUUA